rnacentral:rRNA from 1 species
UACGGGGGGGGCAAGCGUUGUUCGGAAUUACUGGGCGUAAAGGGCUCGUAGGCGGCCAACUAAGUCGGACGUGAAAUCCCCAGGCUCAACCUGGGAACUGCAUCCGAUACUGGAUGGCUUGAAUUCGGGAGAGGGAUGCAGAAUUCCAGGUGUAGCGGUGAAAUGCGCAGAUAUCAGGAGGAACACCAAUUGCGAAGGCAGCUCGCUGGGACGUUACUGACGCUGAGACGCGAAAGCGUGGGGAGCAAACAGG